UACGAAGGGGGCUAGCGUUGUUCGGAAUUACUGGGCGUAAAGCGCACGUAGGCGGAUAUUUAAGUCAGGGGUGAAAUCCCGGGGCUCAACCCCGGAACUGCCUUUGAUACUGGGUAUCUAGAGUAUGGUAGAGGUGAGUGGAAUUCCGAGUGUAGAGGUGAAAUUCGUAGAUAUUCGGAGGAACACCAGUGGCGAAGGCGGCUCACUGGACCAUUACUGACGCUGAGGUGCGAAAGCGUGGGGAGCAAACAGG
rnacentral:rRNA from 1 species